rnacentral:rRNA from 1 species
UACGGGGGGAGCAAGCGUUGUUCGGAUUUACUGGGCGUAAAGCGCACGCAGGUGGCUGAGUCAGUCGAUUGUGAAAGCCCUGGGCUUAACCUGGGAAUUGCAGUCGAUACUACUCAGCUAGAGUAUGGGAGAGGGUAGUGGAAUUCCUGGUGUAGCGGUGAAAUGCGUAGAUAUCGGGAGGAACAUCAGUGGCGAAGGCGGCUACCUGGCCCAAUACUGACACUCAGGUGCGACAGCGUGGGGAGCAAGCAGG